rnacentral:rRNA from 1 species
GAGAGUUUGAUCCUGGCUCAGAUUGAACGCUGGCGGCAGGCCUAACACAUGCAAGUCGAGCGGAUGAAGGGAGCUUGCUCCUGGAUUCAGCGGCGGACGGGUGAGUAAUGCCUAGGAAUCUGCCUGGUAGUGGGGGAUAACGUCCGGAAACGGGCGCUAAUACCGCAUACGUCCUGAGGGAGAAAGUGGGGGAUCUUCGGACCUCACGCUAUCAGAUGAGCCUAGGUCGGAUUAGCUAGUUGGUGGGGUAAAGGCCUACCAAGGCGACGAUCCGUAACUGGUCUGAGAGGAUGAUCAGUCACACUGGAACUGAGACACGGUCCAGACUCCUACGGGAGGCAGCAGUGGGGAAUAUUGGACAAUGGGCGAAAGCCUGAUCCAGCCAUGCCGCGUGUGUGAAGAAGGUCUUCGGAUUGUAAAGCACUUUAAGUUGGGAGGAAGGGCAGUAAGUUAAUACCUUGCUGUUUUGACGUUACCAACAGAAUAAGCACCGGCUAACUUCGUGCCAGCAGCCGCGGUAAUACGAAGGGUGCAAGCGUUAAUCGGAAUUACUGGGCGUAAAGCGCGCGUAGGUGGUUCAGCAAGUUGGAUGUGAAAUCCCCGGGCUCAACCUGGGAACUGCAUCCAAAACUACUGAGCUAGAGUACGGUAGAGGGUGGUGGAAUUUCCUGUGUAGCGGUGAAAUGCGUAGAUAUAGGAAGGAACACCA